GCAACGAAUGAUCCUGGUGUUAAGGUGGCCACUUGCUAUCCUGUAAGGGCGAGAAGAAACAGUUCUCGUCGUUCGACCAUUACCAGUGGUCAGGACGAGCCAGCUUGGUACGCCACGGGUAGCAGUGGAAUGAGCGCCCAGCAAUGCUCAUCGGACUUCUAAAGUGGGAGGACUCCCGGCAUCACCGUCAGAGGUCCUUAGGACAAUGGCAGGUGCCGGUGGGGCCCAAACACUUAGGAGGUUCUGCCACACGUCCUGAGGAGACCGUAGCACCGAGUCAGAUGUGGAAAGAGAAGAUAGUUAUACACAAAGAGGAGGCGUUGCCGGAACCACCAACUACGCCAUCCAGCGAAUCCCAAGACGACUCAGAAAACGGAGAGUCCCGUUCGGAGGACUUAAAAACACCGAACGCCUUGCCAAGAGGUAAACUUGGUAGUUAUCCUUUUCCUUUCAGUUUAGUUAAUCAGGUCCAUGCUAUCUUGAAAAGAAAAUAAAAAUGUUAAAAAUAGUAAGCCCCAUGUGAGUAGACUUGUGCUUUAAAAACCCAUCGGUAUAUUGACUGUGGUGGCAUAAAAUAAAUAUGUUUUCAUCUUACAAUAAAAAUAUAAAUAAUAAGUGCAUGAUCCUGCUAAAUAAAAUUUAUUAGGAGGAAGCUCAAUAUGAUAAUGGCAAAGAGAUUUUAUGCUAACACUUAACCACUUCCACAAAGCUUUGUUGUCUAUUUGAGCUCCACAGAAUUCAAGGAUCAAAGAAGACUAGCAGAAGGAGGACAUCGUAAUCACUGUCAGGGUGCUACUGACAUUCAAAUACACCUCCGCCACUUGCUAGCUACAUCAAAAGAAAUUACGUCAAAAUUCAGCUUGGGGGAGAGCACCCCCGUUUAUCCAGCUAAGUGUUUCUACUCGCGUUUAUACGUUACUCAAAUAAUAAAAAGAUGCAUAAUCAUAAAAACCCAAAUAAAGAUUUUGUGCUUUUAUAUAUAUCUUUGCUUAGUUUGCUAAAUAAAUAAAUAAAUAAAGUUUGCUAUGAACCCUCAUGAUAAUCUCUCACAUGAAAAUGAUGAAUAGUUGCUCUGCCAUGACUAGUUCUUAAAAUUGAAAUCUCUCUCAAGUUUAGGCAUAACUGCUAUAAUUUAAACCUACUCUAAACCUAAACUUGUGGGAAGAGAACUUGAUCUGAAGUCUAAGUUGUUAACGGAUAUGAUAUGAGAAGGUUGAGCUGCUGUUUAUCUGUUCCUAGAGAUGCUAGAAUUCUAGAGAAAUUUAUCUUUUAAAAUCUCUAAAAUAUUACAUGAUGAGUUCCUGUAUGAUGAGAGUUUAAAUUCCUACCACAGCCAUAUAUACAUGCUUGCUAGACUUUAAGCCACACAUUUACUUUUUACUACUUAUGAGCAUUGAGUGUGGUCAAGCUGUGUAGAUCCUUAGGAACUUGUCAUGUGGUUAAAAUCAAGAUUCACUUGCACGUUCACUCACACAUGCUACUUCUACUCUGGAAGUACGUAUCCACAUAUAUCCACUCAUUUCCAUCUCCAGAGCCACCCAAAAGUAUUCUACUCCUAAUCCGGGAGAGAAUAGCCAAAAAGAUUAUCCUAUCCCUGUUAUUCCCUAUGAAAUAAAUGCUCGAGCUAUAUUGGUUACUACCACUUGCUAUAUUAUUUAAGGAGAUGAGUGCUCUAAAAAAAGAGGAUACGAGGAAAUAAAAAGGGGCAAGUGCCCGAAACCUCGAAGAAAAGAAAAAGUGAGACGAGAGGUAAAAAUGGCAAGUGUCCGACAGUAGAAUUAGGGGUACAAGAUACCCACCUGAGAGAAAAGAAAAAAAAAAGAAAAUAUAGAGCACCUCAUUCUCCUCAAAAAGCUUCAAAGUGUAAGAAAGGUAUGUAUCCCCUCAAAAGAGCAAAAGUAGAUUUAGACUUUCACCAUUGUUAUCACCAUCAUCAUCAUACCCCAUUCAUUCGUCACACAUGCACAUCUUGAUUUGACUUAUUGACUUGCUUCUCUAGAUCCAUGGUUUGACUAUGCAAUAAAUGUCUUGUAAGUAUGUAUUAUCUAUCUCCCACCUAUGAGCUCCAGAUAUCAAAACCUUAUUAGAGUAGGGUGAGAGAGAAGGCAAUAUCACAAUGCCUCACACCAAAAAUACCACAUACUUUGAGAGAAGGCAUAUACCAUUACUGCCUUGGUAAGUGUGGGGGUAUAAACCCCUAUACCCUUACGGCUAGACUUCGGCCAGGAGGCUUGGCCCAUUACGAGACGAGUCCAAGGCUUGAUCCGACAACCUGGAGUUUCGCGCAAGGAAACAAGAUGUGGAGAUCAAGCAGGAUUCUAGUCGGUUAGAAUAGAAAUUGAUAUCGAAUUAUCCAUGACAAUUGUAACCGACUAGGAUUAGUUUUCGGAUCUGUAACCCUGCCCUCCAGACUAUAUAAGGAGGGGCAAGGGACCCCCUAGGAUAGAUCAUAUUCUCUCAACACAAAUCAAUACAACCAGACGCAGGACGUAGGUAUUACGCCAACUCGGCAGCCGAACCUGGAUAAAAAGCUUGUCCGUGUCUUGCGCCACCAUCGAGUUCGUAGUUUGCGCACCGUCUACCGAUAAACUACUACCGUGGGUAUACCCCAAGGUAGACUGCC
rnacentral:lncRNA from 1 species